rnacentral:rRNA from 1 species
UACGUAGGGGGCUAGCGUUGUCCGGAUUUAUUGGGCGUAAAGAGCGUGUAGGCGGCCAUGUAGGUCCGGUGUGAAAACUCGAGGCUUAACCUUGAGAUGUCAUCGGAAACCAUUUGGCUAGAGUCCGGAAGAGGAAAGUGGAAUUCCUGGUGUGGCGGUGAAAUGCGCAGAUAUCAGGAAGAACACCAAUGGCGAAAGCAGCUUUCUGGGACGGUACUGACGCUGAGACGCGAAAGCGUGGGGAGCGAACAGG